CUUAAAAUAAACAGAGGUUCCCUGCAUACAAGAAGUUUCAGGUGUAUACACUCCAUCGUUUAUAGAAACAGAUAAACUAAAAAUAGUUUUGAGGGCCCGAAAAGUUUCCGGGGCUUUCGAGAAACGGGCCCCAGGUGCCGUUUUAGAAAGAAAUAUUGCGAAGGCCCUGGGCACGAGAUUGGCAAAUCCUAUAAGCUUCCAAUAGUUCACUAACUAACAGAGCCACUUUUUAUUGACAUCACAUACUAGUAAAACAAAUUACAUCGUCAAAUCUCUAGAACUACUCAAAGUAAGCGAAAGCGAAAUCUGAGACUCAAUACUAAUGAAGCCAUUUGAUAUUUUUAGAGAUUUUCAGAACGUAAUAACAAGAGAAUUGAGUUGCACGUCUAAAAGGCUGAUCAUCAAUCAUUACUACCUUUUUUCCCUUGCUUUCUCGGUAGCAAAAAGAAAGUGCAGGUUAGCUCGCCAAGUCAGACUCGCUCGUCCUUUCGGCUUUCGCUUUUAGGGAACAAAAGUUUAAACAAGUGAAUUUUACAAUAUGAAAACGUUCAUUUUUGAUUUUUCUGACACGAAAUUAAAACAAUGAGUCUUUCCAGAAUUACAAGAGAUAACAGUUUCUUUCGGUACUUCUUACGCUACAAAGAUAAAUUAUAAGACUAUGCCUCACCUAAAGACACUAAAAAAUACCACAUAAAUUAUCAGAAAUUAAUUUACUGAAAACUUGAUAUGUCACUAAUGUAUUGAAAUAAAUGUACAUUGCGAGUUCA